rnacentral:lncRNA from 1 species
AGGCGGCUUGUAUGAGUCUUCUUUACUCUCGACAGGAGGGUGGCCAGGGUUGUGAUCAUAAUGUGGUGGCUUCUCUCCCUUAGGUGGCUUGCCAACUGGGGUUGGUGGCUUGUGUUCAGGAAGUGGUUUCUCUCCCAUGGGAGGUUUAGCAAUUGGGGUUGGUGGCUUGUGUUCUGGGAGUGGCUUCUCUCCCUUGGGAGGUUUAGUAGGUGACUUGUGUUCUGGAGGUGGCUUCUCCACCGGAGGCUUGUGCUCCGGUGGUGGCUUCUUGGUUGGAGGGGGCUUGGGGUAAUCAGCAAGAGAUGGGGUGGUGAGAACCACCAGUCCAAGGAACAACACUAGCAAGUAUGUGGGAGACAUUUUUGAGUUUGGGCUGAUCAGAUGAUGCAAAACUAAAGCAUUACGUGACCUUUUAUAGCAUGUAGCUCCCAAUACCCACUAAGUAUUGUGGGGUCCAUUUGUGCCCUACGGGGUUGAAAACUUAGACAAUUGGGCAAGGACCCACCUGACUAUGGAGGACUAGUGAGGUGUGAUCAUAGCUUUAGGAUUUUUCUUCCUCUGCAGCCGUCGUGCCGUUGGCAUGAUUUUCUUAAUCUUAAAUAAAGGCAUAGUUAUAGAGUUGUUUAAUCUCUAAAUGGGAUUUUAUAUAUAUCUUCAGAUAGCCAUUAAUAUAUUUGAUGAAGAAAGAAAGACAAGUGCAUACAACAUGUAUACGACUAGCUUUCAUGGAGUUCAUUUAUGAUCAGUUUUCCUGUACAUGUAAACCAGGAUCAUAUAUAUGUUUCUGUUCCACAACUAUUUUGGAAUCUUGUUUAUCAGUUUUUAUCAUUAUAAUGUCACAUAGGCUGCCAACUUGGGCGCUAAAAGAACCAGUUGGGCUAGUUCGUUUCAGAAUUUCAAUGUGGAUUCAGGAAUUGUUUUGUAAGAUAUGCGAAAUAGUAGAGGGAUGAAUAGUGUUUCAUUAAUAAAAGUGUCCUGUAAAUUAGAAGGUGUCAUAGAAACUAUAAUCAAUAAAUAACUUUUUUUCCCCACGGGUGGUGUUUCUUGUGGGGAUCAGUGACUGGUUUAGGUUCACCCAAAAUGAGUUCAGACUAAAAUUGGUUUGAGUCAAUGCCGUGUCUCUUUUUUCCAGAAAUCAACUAUUUUAUGCAUUGAAUAAAUCAUACAAAGAAAAUAUGAACGCCCGCAAAACCUAAACCCUGGUUGCUAACUUUCUAUGUUUCAGUUCUAUUCACGCAAGAAUAUUAGUUUAAGUUUGGGAAAAAUGGCAACUUACCUAGUGAUUACUUGGUUUUGGUUUGCGACUAUUUACGCAACCAACCAUGAGUUUGACUUUAACGUCAUGGGUUGAAGCCUCCUACAGGAAGGGAGAAAGCUCCACAGCUAGCUCCAAAAGAGAAUUAUCACAUUGAUAGCUCCAGAGAUUCCCAAGGGGACUGAAUCAAAGACAAGUUCCUCACUUUUUCUUCUUUUGAGGCCAAAUAUGAACCAAGGAUCACACAACCUCAUUCAACUUCAUAAGUUUGAUUUCAUGCAGUUGAACACUGGGUGAAGGCCAUGACAAGAAUUGAUUCAAAAAUUCUAUCACUCUUUUAAGUAAUGGAAGAUUAUUAUCUCUGAUUGGCAUCACAACAGCACAUGCUCCUAGAUCUUUCUAGACACUCCAUGCAAUGAAAGCACAAUGGAUCUUGUAACGAUAGAAACUAAGCCAUGCUACAGUACUAGAUGAUGAGGUAAAACUAGUAGACACGGGUGGCAGCCUAUAUGGGAGGGACACAAGUCUAAUUGAUUUGCAUUUCAGCAUUAUAGAUAGGUAUGUUUUGGAAGAUUUGUUCUGGAAAUACCGCACCAAGUAGGAUUCUUUUUCUCUUUAGUGGGUCCACUUGCAUGCCAAUUAACGAGUUGAAAAGUAUGAGCACCUACCUCGUGCUCGUGGAACCGAAGGUCAGUGAAGUGGGGCUCCUUUUGGCCUCGUGUAAACUUGAUUCAGAAGUGAAGUUAAUAGUCUUCCAUUCAGAUGGAUACAUGGGAAUUUUUCUCUUUUAUUUAUUUAUUUAUUUUUUUUUUGUGUGUGUAUGUCAAAGGAUAAUGAAUGAAGCGCGUUAGCUUGUUUUCUGACUGGAACCGCAGAUGUCCAAAUUGGAGUUCCUUCAUUUCUUACUUAGGAUUGUUACAUGUAUAAACAAGGUAUAAGAAAUAUGCCAACGUGUCUUGAGGAGUUAUUGAUUAGAAAUAACAAGUCACCCGACUGUAGAGUUCCAAGAUUUGAAUCUUCAGACCCUAUAGCAGCCUCUGGGGUACGUGGCAUCCUAUAGCAUAUUAAUGAAGGCUUUUUCGAUUUAGACUUCACAAUACCAAUUAAUAUGUAUGCACAAAAUGGAGAUGACCCCAAAAAAAACAGAAUCGCCAUAGUUUAUGAGGUUAAGGUGAUUCUCCACUUAAUAUCUACAUUAGCUAAUUAUGUAAAUCAAAUGAACUUCUAUUUUUCCUUUUUUUUUUUGGUUUAUGUCAAAUAGUAGCCCAUAAUUAACCCAACCAUUAGCCUGUUUGAAUUGAUUUCACAUGCACAAUGUUGUAGUAGUUCAUAUUUUGAAUUUUAUUUUUACAAAGGUAGUUAAGGAAAAUGAAGUAUAAUAAUUAUAAAAGCAGACUAUAUACACUACAAUAAUUGUUAGAAUGGUAUCUCAAAUUCUAAUUUAAAAUAUUAUUUUUUGUAAAAGAAAUAUUAUAUAGAAUAUUUCCUAAUUUUAUAAAUGAUUAUAAUUAGAUCUUUAUAAAAUAAGGAAAGUUGGUAAGAAUAUCUUUAUAAAUAUUUUAGGUCAUGAGAGAAAGAAAUGGGAUAAAAAUGUGAUGAAGAGGUGAAAUAAGAGAGUUGAUUAGGAUAUAGAUGUGAAGAAGAAAGGGAUUCAAUAUAUAUAUAUCUUUCAAUUACCACAUUAAAACCCUGUGAACCUUUUAUAUGGUUUACUUUAUUUUUAUAUUCCUCCUUUAAUAUAUUUACAUUAAUGCUUCCAUUGGCACAACAAUAACGAAUUACAAAUACAAGCAACAAGUCCCAUGUUUUAUUACCAAAAGCAGGUAAAAUCCACCUAAUAUAUUACAAUAUAUUCAUCCAAUAUUUUAGACCAAUUCUUCACCAUAAAUAUCAUAAUGUGGCUUUUGUUCUUUCUUAAAUUUAAAUUGAAUUGUCUUAUAUCAAUUUGUUUGUGAUUUUUUCAUUAACUUCACUUUCAUUUGGUUAUCUUUGGUUUUUGAAAAGUAUUAAGGAAUUAAUUAACAAAAUAAUGUUAAGAAAAAUAAUUUUCUCUCUUUUGAUUUUGAUUUUGUAGUAGAAAAAUAUAAUUAAAAUUAUUUAAAAAGUAUGUAAUUUUAAAUUAUUUAAUAUUUAGAUAAAAAAAAUAAGUCUAAUGAGUUUAAAAUAACAUAUAAAAAUAAUUUAUUUAUUUUAAAUUUAUUUUUUAUUUUCCAUUAUGUUCUCUUUCUCUUUUACUUUUUCAUAUUUUUUCUUACGAAGAAUCAAACACAACCUCAUAUUAUAUGUCAAGUGUUUGUCUAUAUUUGAGCAAUGUUAGAUACGGCCAUGGAUUCAUCAAACUAAACUGAUUUUAAUAGAUACUUCACAAAUUGAUUUAUACACUAAAUCAUUGGAUAGCAAUGAUGCAUUGGAAUUAAACGUAGGAUGAAGCUCGAAGAACACUGUUUGUGUAACAACAUAUUUAUGAAAUUAUGCAAAGGAUGAGCUUCGGGGUAGUAGUACAAGGUCAUUAAUGGAGAGCCGUGUUAAACCUUGAUUGUGAUUGGAUUCCGUUAUCAGCAACAGCAACCUUGUUUGUAACCUUGAAAGUCAUUCUGUCCACAUCGAAACUCCAAUUUGACGUUUGUAAUUACCAUUCCUGGAGUGUUCCUUGAUUGAAAUUUAAAUAAUAAUUGCGGCCCACAAGGAAUAUUUUCGAUUCUGUGGGAAUUUGACAAGGUUUGUUAGAGAAGACUGGUGACAUGUUGACUUCAAUGGUUCAAAUAGGAGACGUAUGUGGAUUUGGGGGGUUUAAUUGAAACUGAGUCCCUAUGGCUUUUUAAUAUUUGCAUUGAGCAGUCUCCAUGUGACUUCCUAAUUCCCACCAACCCUCCUGUCCAUGCUGUGAAACUAAAUUGUAAUUUAUCAGCCUUUGUCAAUGGUUUCUAAAUUAAAGAUAUAGACCAUGCAUGUACUUUAAUAAAAGCAAAUCUAAAGUGUAGAUAGCAGCAAUGGUGACACCCAAUAUUCUCCAUAAAAUAGAAUUAGAAUAAGCAGUGUUACAUUGUUCAUGAUCACCUACAAGCAUACAAGAACUUCCAUGAAUAACUCAUAGCAAUUGCCAACAGGGCGUCGUAGAGACUCAUACAUAGAACACUAUCCACCCAGAGGAAAGGACAAGACCAGUGCGCUGCAGCUCUUAUUUUUCACAUGUAUACCACCACUCGUAAUAACCAAAUUCACUCAGUUGGGAUAGGUGGGAGAUGGUGGUUUGUGGGGUGGCUUGUGGGGAGGAGUUGGAGGAGGCUUUAUUUUCUGAGGCGGCUUGUAUGAGUGUGCAGGAGGAUGCCCGGGAGUGUGACCAUAAUGUGGUGGCUUCUCUCCCGUAGGUGGUUUGCCAAAUGGGCUUGGUGGCUUCUCUCCCUUAGGAGGUUUACCAAUUGGGGUUGGUGGCUUGUGUUCUGGGAGUGGUUUCUCUCCCUUGGUAGGUUUGCCAAUUGGGGUUGGCGGCUUAUGUUCUGGGAGUGGCUUCUCUCCCUUGGGAGGUUUGCUAAUUGGGGUUGGCGGCUUAUGUUCUGGGGGCGGCUUCUCUCCCUUGGGAGGUUUGCCAAUUGGAGUUGGCGGCUUAUGUUCUGGGAGUGGCUUUUCUCCCUUGGGAGGCUUGCCAAUUGGGGUUGGCGGCUUAUGUUCUGGGGGUGGCUUCUCUCCUUUAGGAGGUUUGCCAAUUGGAGUCGGCGGCUUAUGUUCUGGAAGUGGCUUUUUUCCCUUGGGAGGUUUGCCAAUUGGGGUUGGCGGCUUAUGUUCUGGGGGUGGCUUCUCUCCCUUGGGAGGUUUGCCAAUUGGAGUCGGCGGCUUAUGUUCUGGGAGUGGCUUCUCUCCCUUGGGAGGUUUUGUUGGUGGCUUGUGUUCUGGAGAUGGCUUCUCCCCUGGAGGCUUGUGCUCCGGAGGUGGCUUCUGAAAUGGCGGGGGCUUGGGGUAAUGAGCAAGAGAUGGAGUACUGGUGAGAACCACCAUUCCAAGCAACAAUACUAGCAAGCAUGUGGGAGACAUCUUUGAGUAGUUGUAGCUAAGAUGGCGCAACACUGUAGGCAUUGGGUGGCCUUUUAUAAAGGGCUGGACCCAACAGCCAUAUGACACGUGUCAUGAUGACAAAUGAAGUUGAGGGGAUCCAGAUGGGUCCUACUGAGUCGAAAACUUGCACUAAUUGAUCUGGUGAGAUGACUAUUUCUGUCCUUUUGCCCUUCUCGGCCACCCUGUGCUGUUUUCCUUUUGCACGAUUUUCGUUGCCAAACAAGCAAAUAAUAUUUCGCCAAGAAAGAGGAGAGUGAAUGUGGAAUGCAUCAAGUCCCAUCAAGGAUGGCAGAGAAGAAAUAGAAGAUUGCCCAACUGUGAUAAACAUAGCAUACACGUAGCACCAGGAACUUCAUUUACUUCCAUCUAAUGGAACAUAACAAUCUUCUAAAGUUUUUGCAUGAUUUUGUUAUAUGUCUCUUAGCCUAAAGUUGGAAAUGCGCAACAAAUUUUGUCACUUCUCUAUUUCCCACUGAUGAUGUUAAUUAGCCUUCAUAGAUAUCAUCCUUUCUACAAAGUGCUUCAUUUGUGUGUUAUUGUAAAGUGUAAGAAAAGUAAUUGAACAUGUUCUUUUUCCUUUCAUAGAUGACUUUUGAUGUGCAUUUUAAAAGCAGCGCUGUGAGUCGGUGACCUUGAUUCACACGGAAACUAAGGCUCCUAUAGGACCCACUUUUAGCUGGUUAGGGGUGAAGAAAAUAUCAACUUUUCAGAGUGAUUUAAGUCAAGGCCAAGCCUCACUGUGUCAUUACUCGUGUGAAUUUUAUAUGCACAUACAUACAUAAAUAAAGUAUGAGACCCAAAUAACACCUUCCCUUUACAAACUUAACCCCAGCCGCUCUCUUUCAAUUCUUUUCACACAAGGGUAUUGACUCUAUAAAGGUCAAGAAAAUCAUAAUUUCCUAGGGUUUACAAGGUAAUUGGCUUAAUGCUAAUGUGAAAACAUAAAAGAUAAUAGUAUAUUGUAAGCUAACGAAUAUUCUAUAGUUAUAAUUAUUUGUGAUGUGCAUAAAUAAAUCUUCAUAUAUAUAAUGGAACAAUGAAUAAAGAACCAAUGAAAAAAUACUAUAUAUCAUUGCUUGGCAUUUAAACCGUAUAUGCUGCUCUUUCUAGCUACUCCAUCCACUGAAAGACAACAAGGUAAUCCAUGUUAUAAUGAUAGAAGAUACUGUCUCUAGGCUUUUUGUGAUGAAAAAUAUAAGAUAUGGGUAGGGUUGACCCUUGUAUGUUUGUCCUAUAAACACUUCAAAGUAACAUAUUUUUCUUCUUUAGCAACUCAUAAUGAUGGGGUUCAUUUGCAUGUCACUGAGUUGAAAAGUUGGACAAUUGCCCAUGUCGCCUUCCUCCUAGAUUCCGUAGUUCACGGGAAGGUAACUCAAGUUUGACAUAUUUUGAAUUCUUUUCACUCGGACGUCUUCAUAACCUGACAAAACAAAAAUGAAAAACAGAGGAUUGGUAUAUUAUUCAUGGUAAGCCUCAAAUUAUAGUAGUAUGAGAAAGGAGAAAAAGAUUUUGGGAACUCCAAUCUGGAUAAUUCUCGUUUCUUCUCUUGAAUAAAAAUUUCACUUACCUAACUUCGUUUGGAGAAAUGGCAUAUUUUAAUUUUGUACGUCAUUGCUAAUAAAUGGAGCAAUUUAGCAUGUUUUGUGACUGAAACUGCAAAUGUCCAAUUGGCAUUUCUUCAUUUCCCACUUAGGAUCUGAUCUUGUAGACCAUAUAACGAUAUGUAUCUGUGCAAGCAUUGAAAACUAAUGUGAACUAUGAGGAGUUACAAGCCACUGGACUGUAGAGCGAGUGCCAAGAUUUAAAUCUUCAGGCUCUAUCUGGGUAAGGGGAGGAUAGCGACCUAACCUUUUACCAAAGGCUUAGAAUUUAGACUUUUGGAAAAAAAUUUCUCAUGUUUUGGCUGGAUUUCUUGUGCUUGGCGCAAAAAGGAGAUGGCCUCAAGAAAUAGCAGACUCACUUUUGUUUUCAGCCCUUAAUAAUUCUCCACUGCUUUCCAUAACUACAUGGGUUAUACAUGCAGUCUGCUGCAAUAUUCCAGUUAUAUUUAUUAUUUCAAAGAGGGUGAAUGACUUCACAUGCAAUAUGUUGCAGUAACAACCCAAAUUUUGGCACACCAUCUUAAGAAUAGAAAAGUAUAAUAAAAGAAAUCAAUCAGAGAAUCACUUUGCAUGCAGUUCAUAGAGUUCGCCCAAAAUGGAGCCACAUGUACGGACAACCCCACAAUAGACAAUCUUCUCUAUACAGUAAUAAAAUACAGAAAUGGUUAAUGAAGCUCUGUAUUUCCUUAUCAUAUAUGACCGGUUGAAAACUCAGCAAGUCUUCCUCAAUCACAGACAGUUGGAGUUGCUUCAUCAAAAUCAUGCCUUCAUUACUGGCUUCAUUUUGGUUUCAAUGUCUGUUCUACCCUUAAAUUGGGUCUCUGCUUACUACCGGGAUAUCCUUUAGCGUCCUGCAAUUCUACUAGAUUAAAGAGAAUGACUUAAUUCUGCAUUCUGCCGUCCCUAGUCCAAGUGGUACUAGAAUUGAUGUUUCCUUUAGUGUCCUUUCUUCAUACUUUCAGGUUCUUCCCUUGUUUCAAUAAUGCUGUUUUCCUUCAUGUUUAACCUCUGUUGAACCACUUAAAACAACACAAUUUGCACACCAAUGUUUCUUUACAGAAAAGACUGUUUGCAAAAAUGCACAUGUUAUAAGGUUAAUGGAAGAAUUAAUUUGGGGAUAAGGGACUAGGAUUGGGCCAAUGAAGUUUGGUGUUAAAUUUUGAUUAUGAUUGCUUUUCAUUAUCAGGUACCUUAUAUUUGCUGAUGCUAUCUGGAACUAAAUUCAAAUCAGACAUUAUCCGAUUACUAACAGGACAUAUCAUGUCCCUCUGCAGAGUUUCUAAACUAACAUGUAUCGAAAUGUGGCCCCAAAAGGAAGGCUAGGAAGAUGGAGGAUUUUGUAGGAAUCGACCAGAAUCAGAUGGAAGAGAGAUAGUCCUGUUGACUUUAAUGGUUGUGAUAGGAACAUGCAUCAUUAUAUGAGAAGUUGCAUGAAUUUAUGUAUCCUGUUAUCGUUCCUUGACGAUUUCCCAAUGCAAUUUCACUGUCCACAAGACUAACCUCUCCAUGCAGUCAAAUGAAUUGUAAUUUCUCUAUUGGUACCAGUAGUACAUUUCAUACCAAACAUAUAGUAAAUAUAAAAUAUAAAUAGAUCAAGGAAAUCUGAAUUGUAGAUAGCACUGCAAGUAACACUCAAUAUUCUCUAUAUAUAAUAAAAUAAACAGUGUCACAAUACUCAUCACCCAGUGGCAAGGGAGAAAAACCUACAAUGAGUACUCAAAUCACCAUUCUCAAACAGAAACAUAGCAGUGACUGAUACAUAGAACCUAUAUGCUCACAGGGAAAGAAUAAGAUGACCAGUGCACAGCGGGCAGCAGCUCUUAUUUUACGUACAACUCAAAUCCCAAACUAACCAAAGUCGCUCAGUUGGGAUGGGUGGGAGAUGGUGGUUUGUGGGAUGGCUUCUGGGUAGGAGCUGGUGGCUUCUGUCCCUUUGGUGGUUUGCCUAAUGAGCUUGGUGGCUUGUGCUCCGGGAGUUGUUUCUCUCCCUCGAGUAGGUUUCGAGUCUUGUCAGAUGGCUUGUGUUCUGGUGGUGGCUUCUCUCCCUGGGGUGGUUUGCCGAAUGGGCUUGGUGGCUUGUGUUCGGGGAGUGGCUUCUCUCCCUGGAGAAGGUUACGAGUUUUGUCAUAUGGCUUUUGUUCUGGUGGUGGCUUCUCUCCCUGGGGUGGUUUGCCGAAUGGGCUUGGUGGCUUGUGUUCGGGGAGUGGCUUCUCUCCCUGGAGAAGGUUACGAGUUUUGUCAGAUGGCUUGUGUUCUGGUGGUGGCUUCUCUCCCUGGGGUGGUUUGCCGAAUGGGCUUGGUGGCUUGUGUUCGGGGAGUGGCUUCUCUCCCUGGAGAAGGUUACGAGUUUUGUCAGAUGGCUUUUGUUCUGGUGGCGGCUUCUCUCCCUGGGGUGGUUUGCCAAAUGGGCUUGGUGGCUUGUGUUCGGGAACUGGCUUCUCUCCCUUGGGAGGUUCAGUUGGUGGCUGCUGUUCCGUAGGUGGUUUCUUCACCGGCGGCUUGUGCUCCGGAAGCGGCUUCUCUACCUGGAGAAGCUUACGAGUUUUGUCCGAUGGCUUGUGUUGUGGUGGUGGCUUCUCUCCCUGGGGUGGUUUGCCAAAUGGAGUUGGUGGCUUGUGUUCGGGGAGUGGCUUCUCUCCAUUGGGAGGUUUAGUUGGUGAUUGGUGUUCCGUAGGUGGUUUCUGAAGUGGGGGAUGCUUGGGGUAGUCAGCAAGAGACGAGGUAGUGAGAACCACCAGUCCCAGCAGCAACACUAGCAAGCAUGUGGAAGACAUCUUUGAGUUCAGGCUGAGAUCUGUGCAAGGAUAACAGAAUUAGGUGGCCUUUUAUAGAGGCCUGGACCCAACACCCAUAUGACACGUGUCAUGCACUCAUGGUGACACAUAAUUCUAUGGGACCAUUUGGGUCCUACAGAAGUUGCAAAGUUGGACUACUGAGGUGUGAUCACAACUUUUGUCCUUAUUGCUUUCUCUGCGGCCAUUGCACGAUUUCCUUUAGCAUCAUUUUCUUGGCUAAAUAAGCGUAUUAUAUUUGUGGCAGACCGUCCACGUGUCAUAAACAGAUAUAUUAUAAUAAUGUAGUAUGCUUUUCUCCAAUGGAACAUGACACUCUUCUAAGUCUUGUUUUAAAUAUUGUGCAGGAUUACUUUAUACGUUGCAGUUCCAAGUCAAAAUUGGUGGGCAAACGUUGGCCUUUUUUCAUUUCACCUAAGAUUAAUGCUCACCUGGGAUAGGCACUACAUGACUUAUCUGCUCUUUUACUGUAAAGUUGCUUUGUGUAUGAGAUACACCUCCCCUGCACACCCUCAACAUUCGUUGCUCUGUUUUCCUUGUGUCCAGACGAGGAUAUUAAUUGGAGGCUGACAAAACGACUGCUAGCCCAGGAUUUACAAGGUCCUGGUUUGAGGCUUCGGUGAAAGUAUUUUUGAAAAGACACACAUAGAGAUAGUGCGUUUGGUGCAAUGCAGCACUGUGAGCCAUUCUGACGCGUUCUUAAUUUCAAAACUAAUGAAUGCUUCAAAAUUUUAAGAAGUGACAUUUCCAAAUAUUUGAGUUCGUUUAAUUGAACAUUGGAUAACUAGUGAUCAUAGAUUAUUAUCUGUGCUUGGCACUAUAAGAGGGUAUAUGCUUCUUUUUCUGGCCCCUCCUUCAAGGGAGGAGGGACAAUGUGAUCUGUAACGUUAGAAGCUAUUCCAUGUCAUCUUUGGGCUCAGUUCAAAACUAAAAGAUAAUGGGGGGGGGGGGGGGGGGCAUAUCAUUUUAUAUUUCUUCUAGAAGGUUUGUUCUGGAAAUAUUUCACAGGAGCAUAUCUUUUUCUUCUAUUACGUCAUCCGCAGCCUCCAAUAGGUCGGUUAACAAGCCACCGAGUUGAAAAGUUGGAAAAAUGGGAACACAGCCCGCCUCUUGUAUUCAGUAGUUAAAUAAAAGGUCACUAGAAGUGAGAUCCCUUUUGGCGUCUUGAUUUUCAAUCCAGCACCUCUGUGACCUGACAAACCAAAAAAACUAAAAAAUAAAAAACAGUACGUGGGUUGGUGUUAAGCAUCAAGACAUGUUAAUGAAAGAAGGUAGAGAAUAGGAUAUUGAAAUCCCAAUCCUGAUAACAUGAUUUUCUUUGCUAACAACCAUAUUAUAUUUUAUCAAGAAAGAGUAAUGCAUGUGGCGUCCAUCAAGACCCAUUAGAGUUCCGCUAAAGCUAUAGUUCUGUCAACGUUAUCAUUUACGUUUCCUCUAGAUAAUGGCAUUUUCCUCUAAAGCUCUUGCACCAUUAGGCUUCAAGUCAAAAUUUCACAUGUGAACUUUGGAAAUUUUCUCCAUUUGCCCCUAAGGAUACAGUUAGAAUUGACUUAAAAUCCUGAUUGAUAUGUACUAUUAACCAAAGAAUAUUGUAUAUAAUAAUUGAAAUAUUGUUGAUUCAUCGUGGAAAUACAUUUUGUAAGGAAAGUUGUUGAGAAUUUAGUAUGCUAUAUGGAGAAAAAAGUCAUGACUUAAGGUUGUGUAUGUAUAUUCUAUAUCAAAUAUUAGGUAGGAAUGUGGGAAAGAGCAGAGUGUAAUGAUAAGAAACAAAGAAAUAUAAGAUAUUCUUGAAAGUGGAAAAUAUAAAAUGGCUAACGAGUCAAAUUUAUGAUGCGUAAGGGGGAUCAUGUCACAUAAGAAAACCAUGGCAUACUAAAGACGUACGUGUGGUAUGGAGUAAUAAUUUUGUUAAAAUAAGUUUCUUGUUGGAGUACAUUAGGUGACUAUUCAUAACGUAUCAAAUUAAAGAGUCAAGUGCAUCAAUGAAGGCAUAUGUAGAAAAUUUGUUUGUGACAUGUACCAUAAAGAUAAGAUUGACUUGAUAGAAUUUAGUCUAAGUAGGAGUUGUUAAAGGUGUCUUAAAUUUCUAAUUGAUGUAUAUUUUUUUCUAAAAAAAUAUUAUAUAGAUAUUUUAAUAAAUGAUUAAUUCUUUGUAAAAAUACUUACAUAAUAAAAAACAUCAUUAAAAAUAUCUUUAUAAAUAUUUUAAGUUACAAGAAGGAAAAAAACCACUGUGAGAUAAUGAUGAACAUGCAACACUGUACCAAGUAAAUAAAAAUGUGAUAAAAAAAAAAGAGAAACACUCGAUAAAGGAAGGCUCGUAUAUAAAGAGUAAUAUUUUUAAUCAUAUGAUAGAAUGAUUUUCUCUCAUUCAUGAAUAUAGGCAAGAUUGGGGAACCAUUAUAAAAUUUUGUACACCUCGUGUAAAUUGAUGUUUGUCUUCAUAUUUUACACCAACAAAUGACAUUGAAGUUGUCAUUGAUAAAAGGGAAAAGGCAUGCCUCCACACCAUGUGCUUGAUUCGAAUGGUUCAAGUUUGAAGAAUUUUCUCCGGAAGAUCUAAAACAUUUUCGCCUUUAAAUUUCAUUUGAUUAUUAAUAUCCGAAAAAAUAGUUAAAUACUCUUUCUAUUUUUGAGUUGUUGAAUUUUUUGAAAGUUUUUAUAUUUGUUAUCAAGAAUUUCUAUUUUAUUAAGGGUGAAUAUUUAUAAAUAAGAUAUUAUAUAAUAUUUGGAUAAGAGAGAAUGGUGGAAUAUAAUAAAGUUUUAAUCCUUCCCAAUUUUGAACCUUUUUUUUUUUUUUUGAUAUAAUCGCCUUUCUCUUGCAAUCCUAUUAUCAGGUACCUUAUAUUUGCUGAUGCUAUCUGGAACUAAAUUCCAAUCAGGCAUUGUCCAAUUACUAAUAGGACAGAUCAUAUCUCUCUGUUUCUAAACUAACAUGUAUCGUAAUGUGACCUCAUAAGGAAGGCUAGGAAGAUGGAGGAUUUUGUGGGAAGCGACCAGAAUCAGAUGGAAGAGAGAUAGCCCUGUUGACCUAAUGGCUGUAAUAGGAGAAGCGUGUGGUUUUAUGGGACUUAACUGAUACUAAACCUGUAUGAUGCUUGGAGUGGUGUUUCUUUCAUUUUGUUAAGAAAAUAUGGCAGCAUACAUGCUUUCAACUGAGUGCAUCAGAGCAUCCAUAACAGAUGGUCUGCAACCCUAGGUGCAUGCCACUUUCUGACUGAUAAUGAAAUUGUCAGGUACCUGGCCUUGACUAAGCUCAACAGCAUCACAUAAAGAGAAGCUUUCAUACUUAGAUUACUGUUUAAAGUUUUUGCUUAUUUGAUUUCUUAAUGCCAUUAUGACAUUAUUGAUUCAAUUCUGCUUCCGAUUUUCGAAGUUCUGGGCAUCUACUGAUUGCAUCAUUAUAUGAGAAGUUGCAUGAGUUUAUGUAUCCUGUUAUUGUUCCUUUGCGAUUUCACUGCUCACGGGACUAACCUCUCCAUUCAGUCGAAAUGAAUUGUAAUUUCUUUACUGGUAGCAGUAGUACUUUUCAUAGCAAAGAUAAUAGAAAAUAUGAAAUAUAAAUAGAAGGAAAUCUGGAUUGUAGAUAGCACCAUAAGUAACACUCAAUAUUCACUACAUAAUAAAUAGACAGUGUUACAUAGGUAGAGAAACCUACAAUGAGUACUCAUCACCAUUCUCAAACAGAAACAUAGCAGCGACUUAUACAUAGAACCUAUAGGCUCGCAGGGAAAGAGUAACAUGAUAAGUUCACAGCGGGUAGCAGCUCUUAUUUUACGUAUUACUCAAAAUCUCAAACUAACCAAAGUCACUCAGUUGGGAUGGGUAGGAGAUGGUGGUUUGUGGGGUGGCUUCUGGGUAGGAGCUGGUGGCUUCUUUGUUGGAGUUGAAGGAGGCAUAUUCUUCUGAGGUGGCUUGUAUGACUCUUCGGCACUCUCUGCAGGAGGGUGCCCAGGGUUGUGACCAGAAGGAGGUGGCUUCUGUCCCUUUGGUGGUUUGCCUAAUGGGCUUGGUGGCUUGUGCUCCGGGAGUUGUUUCUCUCCCUCGAGUAGGUUUCGAGUUUUGUCAGAUGGCUUGUGUUCUGGUGGUGGCUUCUCUCCCUGGGGUGGUUUGCCGAAUGGGCUUGGUGGCUUGUGUUCGGGGAGUGGCUUCUCUCCCUGGAGAAGGUUACGAGUUUUGUCAGAUGGCUUUUGUUCUGGUGGCGGCUUCUCUCCCUGGGGUGGUUUGCCAAAUGGGCUUGGUGGCUUGUGUUCGGGAACUGGCUUCUCUCCCUUGGGAGGUUCAUUUGGUGGCUGGUGUUCCGUAGGUGGUUCCUUCACCGGCGGCUUGUGCUCCGGAAGCGGCUUCUCUACCUGGAGAAGCUUACGAGUUUUGUCAGAUGGCUUGUGUUGUGGUGGUGGCUUCUCUCCCGGGGGUGGUUUGCCAAAUGGACUUGGUGGCUUGUGUUCGGGGAGUGGCUUCUCUCCAUGGGGAGGUUUAGUUGGUGGUUGGUGUUGCGUAGGUGGUUUCUGAAGUGGGGGAUGCUUGGGGUAGUCAGCAAUAGACGAGGUAGUGAGAACCACCAGUCCCAACAGCAACACUAGCAAGGAUGUUGAAGACAUCUUUGAGUUCAGGCUGAGAUCUGUGCAAGGAUAAAAGAUUUAGGUGGCCUUUUAUAGAGGGCUGGACCCAACACCCAUAUGACACGUGUCAUGCACUCAUGGUGACACAUAAUUCUAUGGGACCAUUUGGGUCCUACAGAAGUUGCAAAGUUGGACUAUUGAGGUGUGAUCACAACUUUUGUCCUACUUGCUUUCUCUGCGGCCAUUGCACGAUUUCCUUUAGCAUCAUUUUCUUGUCUAAAUAAGCGUAUUAUAUUUGUGGCAGACCGUCCACGUGUCAUAAACAGAUAUAUUAUAAUAAUGUAGUAUGCUUUUCUUCAACGGAACUUGACACUCUUCUAAGUCUUGUUUUAAAUACUGUGCAGGAUUACGUCAUAAGUUGCUUGUUCCAAGUCAAAAUUGGUGGGCAAACGUUGGCCUUUUUUCAUUUUCCCUAAUAUUAAUGCUCACCUGGGAUAGGCACUACAUGAUUUAUCUGCUCUUUUACUGUGAAGUUGCUUUGUGCAUGAGUUACACCUCCCCUGCACACCCUCAACAUUUGUUGCUCUGUUUUUCUUGUGUCCAGACGAGGAUAUUAAUUGGAGGCUGACAAAACGACUGCUAGCCAAGGAUUUACAAGGUCCUGGUUUGAGGCUUUCACGAAAGUAUUUUUGAAAAGAUACACAUAGAGAUUGCGCGUUCGGUGCAAUGCAACAAUGUGAGCCAUUCUGAAGUCUUAAAUUUCAGAUUAAUGAAUGCUACAAAAUUCUAAGAAGGGCCGUUUCCAAAUAUUUGAGUUCAUUCAUCCGAACAUCGGGUAUAUGCUUCUUUCUCUAGCCCCUCCUUGAAGGGAGGAGGGACAAUGUGAUCUGUAUCGUUAGAAGCUAUUCCAUGUCGUCAUCUUUGGGCUCAGUUCAAUACUAAAAGAUAUGGGCGGGGCCCUUAUCAUUUUAUAUUUCUUCUAGAAGGUUUAUUCUGGAAAUCUUUCACAGAAACAUAUCUUUUUCUUCUCUACGUGAUCCGUGGUUUGAAAGUUGGAAAAAUGGGUCCGUUAACAAGCCACCGAGUUGAAAAGUUGGAAAAAUGGCAACACCGCCAACCUCUUGUAUUCGAUAGUUAAAUAAAAGGUCACUGGAAGUGAGAUCCCUUUUGGCCUCUUGAUUUUCAUUCCAGCAUCUCUAUGGCCUGAUAAAUUAAAAAACUAAAAAAAAAGACAGUACGUGGGUUGGUGUUAAGCAUCAAGAGUCAAGACAUGAUAAUGGAGAGAAAGGAUAUUCAAAUUCCAGUUCUGACAACAUGAUUUUCUUUGCUGAACUACCAUAUUAUAUUUGAUCAAGAAAGAGUAGUGCAUGUGGCCAGGAUCAAGACAUACAUUAAUUUCCACAUGAUGAAGACAGUUUCUGAGAGUUUCUUCUAAAGCUCUUGCGCGAGUAGGCUUCAAGUCAAAAUCUCCCAUGUAAACACUGGUUUUUCUUUCAUUGCCACUAAGGAUGCAGUUAAUAUUGACUUAAGAUCCUACGUGAUAUAUUUUUUUAAAAGAGCUAUAUUGUAGAUAAUAUUUGAAAUAAUGUUGAUUCGUUGUGGAAAUAUAUUUGUAAGGAAAGUUGUUGACAAUUUAAUAUAGUAUAAGAAGAAAAAAGUUAUCAACUAGCUAGAGAUGAGUAUGUAAAGUGAGGCUCACGAUUCAACGCGUAAAUAUAAGAUAUUUUAAGGCUCAAUAGUUAUGAUAUCUAUUUUAUUUUUUGUAUCUCAUAUAUUCAAAGAUAUAGUAAAAUGAUUUUACAUAUAUAUAUAUAUAUAUAUAUGAACAUAACUAUUUGUGCCAAUUGAUUUUUAUCUUUAUUUUGUAUAUUAGUAAUUAUAUUAAAGUUUUUACUAAUAUAAUAACUAAUAUAAAAGCUUUUUCUAAAAGAGUCAACAGAGCAAAACACUUAUUAUAAAAAAUAAUUUUGAUUGAAGGUGGAGUCAAUUAUUCUUUAUUUAACAUGUAAUGCAUACGGCGUGUACUUCAUAACUAAAGUAUAUAAGUGUAACAUCUCUUAUAUAUUCUCAUUCAAUCUCGAAAGUGGAAAUUUUAAAAAGAUUAAACGGUUCAAAUUUGUCGUGCAUAAAGGGGAUCAUGUCACAUAAGCAAACCAUGGCAUACCAAAGACAUAGGUAUGGACUAAGAAUUUUUUUCAAAUAAGUUUCUUAUUAGGGUACAUUAAUAGGUGACUUUUUAUGACAUAUCAAAGGAGUCAAGUGCACCAAUAAAAACAUAUAUAGAAAAUUCAUGCAUGACAUGUAUCACUAAGAGAAGAUUGACUUGAUAGAGUUUAAUCCAAAUAGGAGAUUGUUAAAAGGUGUCUCAAAUUCUUGAUUGAUAUAUAUUUUUUUUAUUAAAAAGGUUAUUAUAUAGAUAUUUCAAUAGACUAUUAAUUCUUUGUAAAAAUAGUUAUAUAAUGAGGAUGGUGAUUAAAAAUAUCUCUAUCAAUAUUUUGGAUUAUAAAAAGAAAAAAAAUGAGAUAAUGAUAAACAUAUAAAACUUGUACAAGUAGAUAAAGAUGUGAUGAAAGACACUUGAUGAAUGAAGGCUUUGUAUUUCAAGAUAUAAAUAUAUGGAGCAAAACUCUUAAUUAUAUGAUCAAAUGAUUCUCUCAUAUUCAUGAAUAUAAGCAGGAUUGGGGAACCAUGAUAGAAUCUUAUAUGCCUCUCCAUGUAGAGUGAUCGAUGUUUAUCUUCAUAUUUUACACCAGUGAAUGACAUUGAAACUCUUAUUGAUAAAAGGGAAAAGGCAUGGCCUCCACCCCAAGAAAAACAAGUAACCUCGGUUUAAAUCACUAGUCUACACCCCGAAGAGAGAACUAGCCAAACCUACUAAAAGAGAAACUUAACAAUUUAGAAAGAAACCGUCCAUGAUAAAGGGCCCCUAAAGGUCCAAUUCAGUGAGGUCGUGAACAAAAACACUUUCAUGUCAAAACAGAGAUAGGUACCACCAAAAUGUAAAGGGAAAGAUGUAAACCACGUCGAACUUUGGUAAUCAAUGGUAAAGAUAGCAUGAUAGCUAAAAGCACUAAAGCUGUGCUUGGUAUGCAAAAAUGAAAAGUGGAAAUCAGCGUCUUAUUCUUUUUCACCUUUAUUCACAUAUUAGGAUAACUAAUAUCUAAUGUUUUUUAUGUCUCAAAUUCUAUUCCAUGUUAUGGUAAACUUUCAUCUUGUUUAGAUCACUUUUGUCUGGUUUGGGCUCAAGACGAUAAGCCUAUAGAGACUUCAUAUUGGGUUGAAUCGAUGCCCUUGAUCUGAUCUGUUCGUUAGAAAAAUCUGAAUUAUUAUAAGCAUUUAGAUAAAAAAUAAAUAAAUGUGAAACACAAACUACUCCCUGCACAACCUUGACCCUAGUUACUCAGUUUCACUGCUCACAGGACUAACCUCUCCAUUCAGUCGAAAUGAAUUGUAACAAGAAGAUUUUUGACAGGAGGACGGUAGUUUAAAAUAAUAAUUUCUAAAGUACUUUUGUGAAAAAAAAUAAUUCCAAACGUGGAUUUUAUCAAGUAAAAAGAAAAAAAAAAGUUAUUUUCUUUUAAAAUCUGUUCUUCUAAAGAUGAUAUAUAUACCAAAAAAAAAAAUUGUUUUCUGAAGGUAAAAUUUUUAAAAUUCAUUUUUAAAAAAAUUUACACACUAAAAUUAUCUUUUCAAGAGAAGAUUUUUUUAAUUUUAAAUAAUUAUUAAUUUAUAAUUAAUUUGUUAUUAAUUAUUUAUUAAUUUUUUUAUUUGAAAAAUGCAUUUAUAAAAAACAAAUUUGUUAUUAAUUUAUUAAAUAAUUUUUACAAAAUAAAUAAUUUUUUUUUAUUUUAAUUUUAAAAUUAAUUUUAUUAUAUAAAUUUUAAAAUUAAAAAUAUUAAUAUUUAAUUUAAAAUUUAACUAUAAAAGGAAUAAAAUAUAGAAAAAUAAAUUAAUUUAUUAUUCAAUAAAUUAAUUUUCAAUAAAAUUUUCAGCAUUAAGAGAUAAAUUUUUAAGUAUUAAUCAAUUUAAAAAGAAAUAAUGAUCAUUUGUAUAUUAAGAUAUUUUAUUUAGUAAUUAUGAAUGAUAAACAACUAAAGUAAUUUGAAAAAAUAAUAAAAUAUUUAAAAAAUAAUAAUUUAAUACACGUAAAAUUAGAAAUGAUUAACUAUUUUUUAUUAAGAAAAAAUUGAGGAAAUAUUUUGUUAUUUAAAAUUUUUUAUUUGUUUUCAAUUUUUAAUGUUAUAGGUUUCAAGAAAAUUGAUCAAAUAAAAAUUAAGAAGUCAUUUUUUCAAAAACUAUAUAUCUAAAUAAAAGCCUUGAAAUUCAAAUACACAAUAUCAUAAAUAUAAACACCAAGUCAAUCCUUAAUUAUCAAAUGUUUUUAAUAUUAAAGAAUCAAAAUCACCUACUAUCAUGAUAAUAAGAAAACCAAUAAUAUUGUUCAUAUAAAUACUAAAAAGCUAACAAAUAUCCCAAACAAUUAAUAAAGUAUCAAACAUGAUAAAAAGUCAAUUAUUAUCAUGAAUGCAAAAAAUCAAUAAUUUUGUUUAUAUGAACCAUCAACAAAGAAAAAAAAAAUCAAUAUCUAAAUAUUAAACAUAAUUUAUAUUUUUAUAAAUAUUAUUGUUGAUAAAUAUCUUAACAAUUAUAAUUUUAGUAAAUAAAAUUAAUUAAUUUUAGUUUAAGAAUUAUUUUUUUAUACUUUCGUAUUCUUAUCAAAAAUCCCCAUUUUGCAUGUCUCCUUUGGCAUGACUUUCUUACCUAAACAAGCAUAUAUAUAUAUAUAUAUAUAUAAAAUAUUUGGUUAAGAAAGAGUACUAAAGUUUAUAUGGCACACAUCAAGAUAGAAACAGAAGUGGAAGAUAAUCCAAAUGUAUGAACAGAUAUAUUAUAUCCAUGUAGUGGUAGUGACUUCAUUAUUUACUUUUAUCUAAUGGAGCAUGACACACUUCUUCUGAAUAUUUUGCACGAUUAUGUUAUGUGUCAGCUUGUUCUAAGUCAAAACUAGUGAUAAAAAUCGGUUUUUUUUGCAUUUCCUUCAUGAAGAUGGCACCUGGAUGGGGCACUACAUGAGUGGCAUAGCACGAAGUGAUUUAUCUGCUCCCUUUACUAUAAAGUGCUUUGUGUAUAAGUUACACCUCCCCUGCACUGCCUCAACAUUUGUUGUUCUGUCUUCCGUCUGUCCAAACGAGGACAAACGUAUGUUGUAGGUUGACAAAACCACAGCUAGCCUAGGAUUUGCAAGGAUCUAGUUUGAUUCGUAUGCAAAAGGAUUGGUGAAAAGAUUCACAAAGAUAAUGCUUUUUGCAAUGCAAUCUUGUUCUAAUUCAACAGUGUGGACCAUUUUCAUGUAAUGCUUCAACUAGAUGUCAGUUUCAUGAAUUUUUGUUCAUCUAAUUGAUCACUGGAUAGGCCAUAACCCGAAGAAAUUCAAAAUUCCCUUCAGUACUGUAGCUAAGGAAAGAUCCCUAUCUACCACUGGGAUUUUAAGAGGGUAAAAAUGUAGGUGGGUGCCUAUAUCAUUUGCACUUCACUAUAGGCCUCUUUGGGAAGAUUUCUUCUGAAGACAUUUCAAAGAAACAUAUUUUUCUCUUCUCUCCGUAAACGGCAGCUGCAAGUCAGUCCAUUCACAGGCCACCGAGUUGAAAAGGCUGGAAAAUUGGCCAAAGCACCCGCCUCCUGGAUUCCAUGGGUAAGGAAAAGGUCACUGGAGGUGUGAUCCCUGUUGGCCUCUUGAUUUCCAUUCCGCCAUCUAUAUGACCUGAUAACCCAAAAACACAGAAGGAAAACGUCACCUGGGUUCAUAGUAAGCAUCAAGUCAUGAUAGAGACCAGACAACAUGACCAACAAAGAGUAGCGAAUGGGGCCAACAUCAAGCCCCAUUACGGUUAGAAGAUGGAAGAAGUAGAAGACAAUCCAAUUCUGAUAGAUUCGGGCAAAUGUAGUGCUGUUCAAACUUAAUCAUUUACUAUUUCUUCAUGAAUCACGGCAUUUUUCUUCUGAAAAUUUUCCAAGAUUAGGCCUCUGAAGAAAAAUUUCAUAUGUAAAUUGGUAUAUUAAGGAAAAGGCGUUACAAAGGUGAAAAAAAACCAAUCAAAUCUUAUAUAUGACAUCUCAAAAAUAUGAACUUGCUAUAAAUAUUUAAAAUCAAAAUCUUGCACAUCACCUCGUAGUACGAACUUGCUAUAAAACUUGAAAAUCAAGAAGAAAGGGGCAGUAUUGGACGAGACUACUUAGCACAUAUUAUUAUGAUGUUUUUUCAUUUUCUUAAUGUUGUUUUUAUGUCUUAAAUUCUAUUAUUCUAUGUUACGGUAAACAUUCAUCUUGUUUGUGUGGAAUAGGAUCACUUUUCUCUGGGUUGAGUCGAUGCCCUUAGUUAAUUUGUUCAUUUGAAUAAACUAAAUUAUUAUAAGUAUUUAGAUAAGAAAAACGUGAUACAUAAAUUACGCCUCUCGGCACAACUUCAACACUGGUUACUCUGUUUCAGUUUCCUCACACAAGAUUAUUGGUUCUAGGGUUUAUUUGGUUUUGGUUUGAUUCUAAUUGCUAAACUUUCUCAAGGAAGAUGUUAUAUAGGGAGUGAGAAACCUUCACUCUUGGCUACCUCCAAGAGAAGAGCAAGUGGUCUGAAUCAAAGAUAUACUGCUCACUUUUUCUUCUUCUAAGGACAGCUAUGACCUUGCUUUAAGGUUCGAAUAGCCUAAUGCAACCUCCCAUUUCUCAAGUCAGCUGAUGAUGUAAGUCACCUUGGCUUUCCACAUUCAUACGGUGAGGACGUUUGUGGGUGUAAUUCUCUUAACAGUUUUCAUUUUAUAUGGAAAAAUUCAUAAUUAAGGGUAAUUACUGAUUCCAUUUGACAGUGACCAAGUUUAAAAUAUUAAUUCAUAUAUUAAAUGCACAUUAAAAAAUCAUGGAAUAAAUAUAUUUACUAAUAUAUAGUUCUUUUGCCAUGUUCUGUCACAGAAGCAUCGAACUUUCCCUAGAAAUUUUUGCAUGGUAUUCUACUUAUGAUUUUGAAAACUCUAGGCACCUGAGGCCACUAAUUGCAUGGUUGGAUGAGGAGCUGCAUGAGAUUAUGUAUCGUGUUGUUCCUUAACUACAAAUAUCAGUUUUAAGUAGCAUCUCCAUGUGACAUUUUCCUGAUGCAAUUUCGCUGUCCACCAACAAAUUUCACCAUGCAGCAAGAUGAAUUGUAAUUUCUUUAUUGUUAUCAACAGCUUUAAUUAAUCUUGAUAUAUAUAUAUAACUUAGUAGAAGUAUAUUAAUCUAGAUUGUAGUUGCACUAAGAUAAUAGGCAAUAUUAUAACAGUGCCACAAUGCUCAUCGCCAAAUAGAAAGGUAGAAAAACUACAAUGAGUAACUCACAACAUUCUCAAACAGGACAUAGCGGCGACUGAUACAUAGAACACUAUUGGCACUCAGGAAAUGAUAAGAUCAGUGCCCAGCAGGCAGCACGUCUUAUUUUACAUACUACUUAAAACUAACCAAAGUCAUUCAGUUGGGAUGGGUGGGAGAUGGUGGUUUGUGCGGUGGCUUUUGGGUAGUUGGUGGCUUCUUUCCUGGAACUGAUGGUUUUUUUGUUGGAGUUGAAGGAGGCUUAAUCGUCUGAGGUGGCUUGUAUGAGUCUUCAGCACUCUCUGCGGGAGGGUGCCCAGGGUUGUGACCAUAAUGGGGUGGCUUCUCUCCCUUAGUUGGUUUGCCAAGUGGGCUGGCUGGCUUGUGCUCCGGGAGCGGCUUCUCUCCCUUAGGUGGUUUGCCAAAUGGGCUUGCUGGCUUGUGCUCUGGGAGCGGCUUCUCUCCCUCAAGAAGUUUACGGGUUUUGUCAGAUGGCUUGUGUUCUGGUGGUGGCUUCUCUCCUUGGGGUGGUUUGCCAAAUGGACUUGGUGGCUUGUGUUCGGGGAGUGGCUCCUCUCCCUUGGGAGGUUUAGUUGGUGGCUGGUGUUCCAUAGGUGGUUUCUCAACCGGGGGCUUGUUCUCCGUUGGUGGUUUAUGAACUGGGGGAUGCUUGGGGUA